rnacentral:rRNA from 1 species
CAGUUCGGAUCGGAGUCUGCAACCCGACUCCGUGAAGCUGGAUUCGCUAGUAAUCGCGCAUCAGCCAUGGCGCGGUGAAUACGUUCCCGGGCCUUGUACACACCGCCCGUCAAGCCAUGGGAGCCGGGAGCGCUUGAAGUGCGUCGCCGCGAGGCGCGCCUAGAGCGAGACCGGUGACUGGGCUAAGUCGUAACAAGGUACC